rnacentral:rRNA from 1 species
AUUGAACGCUGGCGGCAGGCCUAACACAUGCAAGUCGAACGAGUGGCAGACGGGUGAGUAACGUCUGGGAAACUGCCUGAUGGAGGGGGAUAACUCCUGGAAACGGUAGGUACAACGGCAUACCAUAAGAUGUGCCAAGAUGGGAUUAGCUUGUUGGUGGGGGAACGGCUCACCAAGGCGACGAUCCCUAGCUGGUCUGCGAGGAUGACCAGCCACCCUGGAACUGUGACACGGUCCAGACUCCUGCGUGAGGCAGCAGUGGGGAAUAGUGCACAAUGGGCGCAAGCCUGAUGCAGCCAUGCCGCGUGUAUGAAGAAGGCCUUCGGGUUGUAAAGUACUUUCAGCGGGGAGGCGGUACCCGCAGAAGAAGCCCCGGCUAACUCCGUGCCAGCAGCCGCGGUAAUUC